GCGACCCCAGGUCAAGGGCGGGAUUACCCGCUGAGUUUAA
rnacentral:rRNA from 1 species